UGGAGGCAGUGCUGUCAGGCGCUGGCAGACGUCAGCCAGGGAUGAUGUGUGGCUCAGCUGCACAGGGACCACCAGCACAAGUGGCCAAAGUGAACGCAGGAAAUGCAAAUAAGAAAAGUGGGCUGGAUGUUACUGUCCUUAGUCCAUGAGGAAAAAGCAGGAGCUGAAGCACAAUGAGAAGUGGCCCUGACUACCAGCUUCAGGUGGGGAGGCAGAAGCAGGCAGAGAAGGCUGGCCAGUGGGAAGGCGCAUGCCCCGCCAAAGGGCAGCCUCACCCAGCUCCAGCUGCUUGUGGAAGUAGGAAUUUUUAUAUGAAAUCUCCCAAUUUUCAAAUGUGGACAGCUAAUUUGAAAAGUAUUCUUACCUCUGUGAGGCCCAAAUGAAACAUGCCCUUUCCUGGAUUCAGCCAGCACCCCCAGCUCACGGCCUUGGUGUUCGCCUACUCCAUGCCUCCCCAUCCUUGGCAGGGUCAUAGACAGGAAAAGUGGUGCCUCAGCUGUUCCUUAACCAGGUUCUCCAGUCUAGGUCCAUUCUAGUUCACCGAACACCUUGAACUUCAGAGUCUCAGGGAUUGUGUGCUGGGCCUGGAGGAGGUCACAACCCAGCCUCCCUUGUUCUAAUCCUGAAGCCUAUACAGACAGUUGCAAGGCCCCAUUGUUUUUCCUCCACACGCAUAUAUUGACUUUGGCAGCCCAGAUGAAUGGUAAAUGCAGGCAUGUUGUGUGAGCCUCCUGCCCUCCUGCCUCAGCAUCUACACACAAACACCCGCUCCAUAUACCAUCCACGUUCAAGCUCAAUUCCAUGGAAAAAAGCUAAGGAGCUCCCUGGAUUAAGGGACAAAGUAGGAACAGAUCCUUAACUGGCCAUCUCAAGGACAAAUACCCACUGCUGCUGCUCCCGGGAAGAGGAAGAGCCCCGUUGUCCCCAGUGGCUCUGCCUAUUGUGCCAGCCACCCUUGAAGGUUUGGGGUUAUGUGAGGAGUCUGUAUUUCUAUCUUGUCUCCUGUUUUGUGUACUUAAGCUACAUGAGCUUGUCCUUGUAGAAUAGUAGGACCACUGACUAAAGGAACAGAAUGUUCUGGAUGCCUACAUUAGCCAGCCUGAGCCAGAUGGCCUUGUACAGCCACCUUGAUUUGCAGCCCAGGCAUGCCUGCAACACUGGAGAAUUGUCUGCAGCCCAAGAGAAAUGGUACCUUGGAACUGUUUUCCUUUUUCCCUUGAGCCCCCUGCCUCCCUGUGUCAGCUUUUUCAAGAAAUGAAAAUGAAAUCCCUCCCAUCUGUUGUUUUCAUUUCUGUCACUCCCUGCACAAACUUUAAUUUCCUCCCUUUUUAGCUUUGCAAGGAAGCAAAGCUUAAGCAGAAUUUAGGUGAUCAUUUUCCAGAAGCUGUUUAUAUACCAGCAUGACUCCCACCUUUGGUUCUGUGUCCAUACCCUUUGGUGGCACCUCACAAAAUGUCCUAUGUGUUGGUCAGGACAGGACAAAAUGGGGUAAGGAAGCCAACAGGGCCCAAGAUUCCCAGUCAGUGAGAAUGAUUUUAGUAAACUGGGCAAGCAGUUCUAGCCUCAGAAAUGCUGGCUUCGGGCUUGGAGUGCAGCACCCCAUUCCUGGGGGUCUUUGCUGCAGUGCUCAGGAGGCCCACCAGGCAGGGGCAGGUGCUGGGGCCAGCCCACACCACCCAGGAUGGGCAGAAACAGGCCAUAGGUUUUUGCCCUUUGUCAGGAUAAACCAGUGAACAAACCAACCAAAUCUCCUUCAGAGAUGGUGCACACCUGAAAAUGUAUUGAUUUAGUUUACUGAGCACUUCCUUCCAGAAAACUCUAUGUGAAGAUGUGCAGAGAGGCGCCUGGGGUGGCAAAUAAAAGCAAUAGGAGGAGCUAAAUCAGGAGCUGUAGAGUGUAAAGAGGGCUUUGCACUCUGAGACAAUCAGGCAUCUUGAACAUCUCAGAACCCAGUGUGCUGAAGGAUGCUGGAAUUGCUUUUUCUUUUUUCAUUUUUUUCCCCCAGCCAAUCAUGUAGGAGGUUUUUUCAGAGGAGAAAACAACUUUGUCUUCCCCAAAGACAAACCCUACACUUUGCUUUAUAAGACAGAUAGCAGGAUGCUGGAAUUUCUUCUCCUCUCCUGUUUCCAGUCAUUCUAGCUUUAAGAAGUUGGACACCUCUGAGGGAAGGGCUGUUCAUACCAAGACACUGUCUGAACUCUCUGACCUUCUUCCCUCCCAGCCCAGCAGGUGACAGCCCUGAUCCCUUGGUGCAGCACUGUGCUGUUUUUAUCUGCAGCACUCGACCUGCCUACAAGGGCUGGCCUGUCCUUGCUGUGAACCUGGGGACUAGGAUGCUGUUCAACCACCUGGGCCUCUGAGAUUUGGUCUGGGACCACGGGGGUGGCUCACUCGUUGUGUCAUGGCCAGCCAAGGGCCGAGGUGUCCUGUGCAGAUCUGCUCAUGACUGUCUGAGGGAGACUAGAUCUCACGUGAAGACAGCCAGUGCCUCUUUAAACCCACAAAUUUCAGUUCUUGGCAUCAGUCAGUUUUUAGAACAAGGCAGCUCAGAAAUACAAAAACAAUUAACACUUCUGUAGUGCUUUUAAUCUACCAAGCACUGUAGUAAGUGAUAACCUGCUUUAACUCAUUCAGACCCAUAGUCACUCCUGAAUUAGGCACUAUCUUUAUCUGCAUCUUAAAGAGGAAAGAGAAACAGAGGUUCUAACUUACUAGAAAUCACAGAACCAGUAAGUGUUGGAAGUCAGAGUUGAACACAGAAGUCUAGGUCCAAUCCAUUCUCUUGACCUCUGGGUUGUACUGCUUGUCAUAGCUGUAAAUUUUUAGGGCACUGAACAUUUAGGGAGGCAAUGUGAGGGGGAGGGUAAGCAAGAAGUAAGAGAUGUCACCCACUUGCCCCCUCCCACUUCAUUCCCUGCUCCCUCUUCCCCAAUAGGUUAGCUCCCCUCCUGAUGGUUCACCUCUUGCUGCAGGUAGUAUUUUCUCUGCCCCACCCCCUUAGGCACAGGGGUUUACAUGUGACCUUGUGGGCACUAGUCCUAAUGAUGCUGCCUCAACCAAGGCUAAUCACAGCCUUCCUUGGCAUUGUGACACCAGAGCUAGGAGGAGACAAGACAAAGACUCCUCUCCCAUGCAGCAGGAGAGUUGUGUGGAUGUGAGCCCAGAGCUGCUCACAGUUCCUGUCUCUCAGAGAAGUCAGGCCAAGGCAGGACACAGAGAGUGCCCCAGGCAGUCAGCACUGCAGUCCCUCCUGAGUCUUGGCCAUUCAUUUCCUGCUCCUCGUUCUUGCGCUUCCCCAGAAUCUCUCUAAUAAAUUCUCUUUUUGCUUUG